ACCUAAGAAAUUGAAAGACACAUAAACCUCAGGCAGCACCUUCUAUGUUAAUUAGCUUUCUUUACUCACCAGGACCUUAUGAAAAAGCAUUGGUUUGCAUAAGCUGCAAAGUAACCUGUUAAAUACAGUCUGUUGAGGUAUGACUAUUGGCUGCUUGCUGAAUCUAACAUUUCUCCAUAUCAACAAAGUCUAGCAAACCUUCCUGAACAAGACCAAUUCAAGACUAAAUUACUAAGGAAGGCUGAGUAAGGUGAGAUGGUCCAAUGGUUAGAGAGCUUGCCUUGCAAAUAUGAGGACUGAAGUUCAGAUUCCCCAGACCCCAUUUGACAGGUAGCCUGCCUGCAAUCCCAGCUUAGAAGGAAGAGACGGAAUUCCUGGAAAAAAAUGGUUAGGAAGACAACUUUAUCAGUGAGCUCUGAGAAAUGUGUCUAAAUGAGUAAGAAAGUAAAUAAAGAAUACUCCCAAUGUCAGCCUUGGACCUCCAUGUACAUGUGCAUACAAGUGUAGGUAUACCUACAUAGACAUGUGAGCCCACACAGUAAAUACUCAUGUGUACCACUGUGCCACAUAGUUUUAUGUUAGCCUGAUAUAGAGUCAUCUGAAAGAAGGGAUCUCAAAAGAGAAAUGCCUCCAUAAGAUUGGCUGUAAGGCAAACAAGCCGAUAGAGUAUUUUUAAAACUUAGUUAUUGAUGGAGGAGGGCCCAGCCCACUGUGGAGCCGUCCUUGGACUGGUAGUCCUGGUGCUAUAAUAAAGCUGGCUGAGCGGGCCAUGAGUCGCAAUCUGGUAAGCAGCACCCUCCACAGUCUCUGCAGCAGCUCCUACCUCCAGGUUCCUGUCCUGUGAGUUCCUUUCCUGACCUCCUUCAAUGAUAACAACCCCAUGGAAGUCUAAGCCAAAUAAAGAAACCCUUCCCUCCCAGCUUGCAUUUCUGUCAUGGUGUUUCCCUGCAGCAACAGAAACCCAACCACACAUAGAAAAAAAAUCAAACAAAACAAAACAAUCCCAGAAAGGAACACAGUCUAUAGGGAUAAAGCGCACGUGUACUGGGCAGACUGGCAGUGAAAGUUCCUUUUAAAACAUUCAAGCUUGACCAGUUUUGCUUCCUCCCAAAGCAAACCCCAAUAUGUAAAUAACAUGAGUCACAAGCUGUUAAAAGCUGCCUCAUGCCUGUUUUAGAGUCCUAAGCUGUGUAUUUAACCCCUGCAACUGCUGACACACACAUGGAGAUGUGCUAUGGCAGGAAGGGUACAAAGGCAACAAUAAUCAAGCACUGACUGAAUCAAGGACAAGGAAGUCACAUCGUUACACAUCUACAAGACCGACAGUUAAGUCCUCUAUAGUGAAGGGAAGAACAGUUAAGCUCACAAGUUACCUCACCAGUGUAGACAAAAACUGAUUUCUACAAAUGGCAUGGAAAAUAAUGUAAGCUUGUGUCUCACUUACUCCCUUAAUUCUGCUCUGACCAGGAUGGUGCUGGAUCUGAUCUUUAAAAACGAUAACAGACAUGGACUUCAGUGACCACACAGCUUCUAACUGAUGUUUAACAAUGUUCAAAAGUGUGAGCGGUCCUGGCACUUGGGUACAGAGCAUCUCACAAAUCAAGCAGAAAAGCCCAGUCACUCAGGACACACCGGAGGAGGGGAGGACAGAGCGGUGGGCACACUGGCCGUGCAUUUGCCUUCACACUGAGAUGUGACAAUUCAGGCUACUGGGGACACUUCCUAAGCACAGGGCCCUACUAGAACCAGAGAGUUUUAGGAUCUCUUCUCAUCCCUGCACCAACAGCUGACACCUGAUUAUCAGAGACUGGAGCUAUCAGGUCACAUGUCACUGGAGUCCAAACAGGUCACCAUCCUUACUUACUCAUGUAUAUCAUAAGAAAACAAGAUGUCUUAGUAUGCAGACCUCUACUCCACACAAUUGUUAAGAGAACUGUAAAACUAAGAUAUCCUGAGAUGACUUCAAGGUUUAUAAACAGGAAAUUUCAUUAGUCAGAACUAUAGUGACUAAAGAUUAAGUUCAAAAAUGGAGAACAGGAACAGUGAAGUCCUGAUAUGGUUCAAUGAUUCGUCAGUAUCAGGACAGAGCACAGUAAGGACAACCACUGUCUUCCCUUCAAGUCAGAAAUGGGUUCAAAGUAACAGAGAGAAAGCAAGCGUGUGAAGGCACACGCGGAGUUGCAGUGUUCUCAUUAACCCAGAACACACACUCUGACACAUACCCUGUCAAGUUCUGGAGUCUAUCAGUGGCCUGGAGGUCUUAAAAACACUUUGCUGUGCUGCACCAUGCUUAUCCAUCAGAGUCUGAGGCUGCUCCUGCCACAGGUCUGGCUUUCACCACUCCAGAGGCUGCAGGAUUGCUUGCUAAAGGCACUCUCUCCUCACACACUUCCUAAGAGCUGGGCAUUCAGAAACUGCAGCUGAGCCCGGGUUGUCUGCAGAGAACACUGACAUCAGCGGGUAAGUGGCAACUGCCGUGUUUACUGUACAGAUUUGUACUGGGCUGGCAGUGCAACUUCACUGUGCUAAAAGGUGGCUCUUUUCCAUCUUCCCUCCAAUGAGCUGCACGCUCUGCGUUUUUCUAUUCAGUGCAAGUGGAAGGAAAAGAUUAGAGAGCAACCUCAGAGUUCCAGCUUCACCUACUCAGUAGAAGGAGAAAAGCUGUCAUGCAUGUAUGUGUGUACACACGCAGAAGCAAGAGGUUAAUGUAACACUGACUUCUGCCAGAUAUGGACUGUGAUAGGACCACUGUGUACAUACUCAAACGAGUGCUGUCCAUAGGAAGACAAAGACAAAGUCACAAACCUUUGGUUAACUUUUCAACGUGUUUCUGGAGCUCAAUGUCCACAUUAAAAUGAACGUAAGUAUCUUCUUUUCUUGAUGCCACAGGAGUAUCUUGUACAGGAGUUAAAUCUAUGCCAUUCAAAUCUAGAGAGAAACAAGUUUCCACUUAAGGACAAUCAAAUUUAUAGAGCACCAAAGGCUAAAUAUCCUGCAGAGGUGGGAGAGGGGAAGGAUUUGGGGCUCUUUGUAAUAAUUAAACCUAUGAAUUCUAAACUAUA